rnacentral:rRNA from 1 species
UNUGACUUGAGUGCAGAAGGGGAGAGUGGAAUUCCAUGUGUAGCGGUGAAAUGCGUAGAUAUAUGGAGGAACACCAGUGGCGAAGGCGGCUCUCUGGUCUGUCACUGACGCUGAGGCUCGAAAGCGUGGGUAGCGAACAGGAUUAGAUACCCUGGUAGUNCACGCCGUAAACGAUGAGUGCUAGGUGUUAGGCCCUUUCCGGGGCUUAGUGCCGGAGCUAACGCAAUAAGCACUCCGCCUGGGGAGUACGACCGCAAGGUUGAAACUCAAAGGAAUUGACGGGGGCCCGCACAAGCGGUGGAGCAUGUGGUUUAAUUCGAAGCAACGCGAAGAACCUUACCAGGUCUUGACAUCCCGAUGCUAUUCUUAGAGAUAGGAAGUUACUUCGGUACAUCGGAGACAGGUGGUGCAUGGUUGUCGUCAGCUCGUGUCGUGAGAUGUUGGGUUAAGUCCCGCAACGAGCGCAACCCUUAUUGUUAGUUGCCAUCAUUAAGUUGGGCACUCUAGCGAGACUGCCGGUAAUAAACCGGAGGAAGGUGGGGAUGACGUCAGAUCAUCAUGCCCCUUAUGACCUGGGCUACACACGUGCUACAAUGGUCGGUACAACGAGUUGCGAGCCGGUGACGGCAAGCUAAUCUCUGAAAGCCGAUCUCAGUUCGGAUUGGAGGCUGCAACUCGCCUCCAUGAAGUCGGAAUCGCUAGUAAUCGCGGAUCAGCACGCCGCGGUGAAUACGUUCCCGGGCCUUGUACACACCGCCCGUCACACCACGAGAGUUUGUAACACCCGAAGUCGGUG